CAAUAGCGUAUAUUUAAGUUGUUGCAGUUAAAAAGCUCGUAGUUGGAUUUCGGGUGGGACGCAGCGGUCUCGCAUUGCGUUUGUACUGCUGCAGCCCUCCUUCUUGCCGGGGGCGGCCUCUCGGACUUCACUGUCUGGGGGUCAGAAUCGGCGAUGUUACUUUGAGUAAAUUAGAGUGUUCAAAGCAAGCUUACGCUCUGAAUAUAACAGCAUGGGAUAACACGACAGGACUCUGGCCUAUCGUGUUGGUCUAUAGGACCAGAGUAAUGAUUAAGAGGGACAGUCGGGGGCAUUCGUAUUCCGUUGUCAGAGGUGAAAUUCUUGGAUUUACGGAAGACGAACAUCUGCGAAAGCAUUUGCCAAGGAUGUUUUCAUUGA
rnacentral:rRNA from 1 species